CAUUCACACAGGGUACAGUGGAGCCUCAAAUGUAAGACUCACAGGCUGGAGCUGGAAUCAUGAGGUUCAUUUACUCACAGGCCUGGUGGUUGAUGCUGGCUGUCGGCUGGAACACUCACAUAGGGCCUCUCCCUGUGGCCUGGGCUUCCUCACAACAUGGUGGCUGGGUUCCAAGGGCAACCAUAUCCAACAGACGUGAAUGGCUUAUCAUGGAAUGGACUUCAGAGCCACACUCUCUGGCUAUGAAUCUCAGCUCUACCAUUUACUGAUUGGGUAACUUCUGGUAAGUCACUUAAUUUCUCUGUGCCCUGAUUGCUUCAUCCAUAAAAUAUGAAAAAUAUCUUCCUUAUAGUAUAUGCUAUUAUAACCAAGAAUAAUUACCUCAGGGAGGAACAAAUGAUCUUAAUAGAUGUAAGACACUUAGAACAGUGCCUGGCACAGUUAGCUAUCGCUAAGGGAUCAUUUUGAGAUGGGUCUCAAAAGAGAAUUAGGAUUUGGUCAUUGAAGAAGAGGGAGAAGGCAUUAUAGACAGGGAUUAUCAAAGGCACAGAGGCACAGAGGCUGCGGGUAAGGUGUUCACCAAUUCAAGAAGUAAAAACACAAGACACAGUUAAAUUUGAAUUAUUUCUUUUUAAAAAUUUUUUUUUUUAACGUUUAUUUAUUUUUUGAGACAGAGAUAGAGCAUGAACGGGGGAGGGGCAGAGAGAGAGGGAGACACAGAAUCGGAAACAGGCUCCAGGCUCUGAGCCAUCAGCCCAGAGCCUGACGCGGGGCUCGAACUCACGGACCGCGAGAUCGUGACCUGGCUGAAGUCGGACGCUUAACCGACUGCGCCACCCAGGCGCCCCAAAUUUGAAUUAUUUCUAAUGCCUAUUUGCAUAUACUUUGAGAUAAAAAUUACAUGAGACAUACUUAUUCUAAAAACAGAGUUGUUUAUCUGAAAUAAAUUCUAAGUAUCUAAAUUACACACCUGUUUAUUUCAUUAUAUUUCCCUGGUUAUUUGGUUCUCCUUAAUAGUUCCUCGUUUUGCAGAAUUUGCUUAUAGAAUUCCCUGAAGUUACGGUCUUUGUUCCAUUUACAUGUUAACAUGAUUUCUGCAGUGAUCACAUUCUUUUUCUUUUUUUUUUUAAGUUUAUUUAUUUUGAGAGAGAGCGAGAGCAGGGGAGAGGCAGAGAGAGAGGGAGAGAGAAUCUCAGGCAGGCCGUACACUGUCAGCACAGAGCCUGAUGCGGGGCUCGAACUCACAAACUGGGAGAUCAUGACCUGAGCUGAAAUCAAGAGUUGGAUGCUUAACCGACUGAGCUCCCCAGGAACCCCACAUUCAACUUAUUCUGUUCCUGACCAGUGAACAUUUGUUAAUGAGAAAUCGUGCUCAGCAUUAGCAUUAUGAGCCAGCAUAUGGAACAUCUACUUGCAAAAAGUUACCAACCCUGAGCGUUGCGCUUCAAAUGUGAUUGGCUGAGGCACAUAAUACCAUCUUUCACAGCAUAACCUGCUUUUCCAACUCUGCAGGAUUCCACUGCAUCUCUUGAUCAAUAAUUUUGUAAAAUGUCCACCAGCAAAAAGGAGCAUGGUCUUCAAUUUUUGUUCGUUUUUUCUUCUGUGUUACCCAUGUUGAUUCUACUUGUUCCCAUGCUAAAAGAGUGUUGAGUAACAUCCAAGUAAAAUAGUCAAAUUUUGUAAUGGAUGAAACCCAUUUCAAAAGAUAAUCAUGGCAGGUGCUGAAAUAGUUAUCUACUGGACUGAAAUUUAUUUUCUGGUUCAUACAUAAUGUCCUUUUUAACAAGAGUUUUGAUAAUAAAAGGGACAAGUUUUUCAUCAAUUCUCGUUUAACACAUUCAACAAGUUCCUUAGUAAUGGAGCACCUCCAUUACACUGUUAGCUGUUCUUUCAAUUUGCACAAUCCUACUGCCAAAUUGAUACUGAAAACUAUGAACAAGAAAUAAGUAGGGGCACCUGAGUUGGCUCAGUCAGUUGAGCGACUGACAUCAGCUCGGGUCAUGAUCUCACGGGGUUCGUUGGUUUAAGUCCCGGGUCGGACCAUGUGCUGACAGCUCAGAGCCUGGGGCCUGCUUUGAAUUCUUUGUCUCCCUCUCUCUCUGCUUCUCCCCUACUCUCUCUCUCUCUCUCUCAAAAAAGAAAAGCAUUAAAAAAUGUAAAAAAAAAAAAAAAAAAAGAAAGAAAAAAGAAAAAAAAGAAAGAAAAAGAAGUAAACUUCAUUCAUUGCAUUAUUUAAAAAGCCAACAGGGGGCGCCUGGGUGGCUCAGUCGGUUAAGCGUCCGACUCCACCUCAGGUCAUGAUCUUGUUGUCCGUGAGUUCGAGCCUCGCGUCAGGCUCUGUGCUGACACCUCAGAGCCUGGAGCCUGUUUCAGAUUCUGUGUCUCCCUCUCUCUCUGACCCUCCCCUGUUCAUGCUCUGUCUCUCUCUGUCUCAAAAAUAAAUAAACGUUAAAAUAAAAAAAUUAAAAAAAAAAGCCAACAGGAAUUUUGAACCAACAACUGGCUUCUUAGAGAGUAUUUCUUAGAGAAGAAAACCCUUUUCUUUAGAAUUCAAGUAUCAUCUCAGUCCUUCACAUAAAUGGAGGAUUUUCUCAACUGUGUGUUAACGAGAAUUAAUGGUUUUUGAAUGUAAGAGAAAUGAAGAAUACUGAAUGCCAAUAAAAUCAAAAUCCUUAAAUUGCUCACUUAGAAUAGUAUCAAUGCUGAAGUAAGAGAGUAAUUUCAUGACAGUUACUCCAAUCUCAGUAAAAAAGACAUGAGUGGUGACUGGGUGGCUCAGUCGAUUAAGCAUCCGACUUGGGCUCAGGUCCUGAUCUCCUGGUUCCCGAGUUCGAGCCCCAUGUUGGGCUCUGUGCUGACAGCUCAGAGCCUGGAGCCUACUUCAGAUUCUGUCUCCCUCUCUCUCUGCCCCUCCCCUGCUCAUGCUCUGUCUCUCAAGAAGAAAUAAACAUUAAUUUUUUUUUAAAAAAGACAUCAGGUACUGUUGAGUAGCAUUAUGCAGAAUAUCAGCAGGAUAACUAACCAUAGAAUUAUUUAUGUUGUGCUUCAACCUUGAACAAGCAGGAUUUAUACCCUUAUACAAACAUUCACCAAAAGUUAUGUUCAUAUUAUCUCCAACAAAAGCAGUAAAAAAUUUUUCAACAUUUCUUUUUUUAUAUACACAAUAAAACUGUACAUGUUUCAUGUAUGUGAUUUGAUGAGUUCAGACAUAUGCAUACCUCUGUGAACCAUCACCACAGGCAAGGUAAUACACAUCUCCAUCACCUCCAGAAGUUUCCUGGGCCCUUUUGGGGUGUGUGUGUGUGUGUGUGUGUGUGUGUGGUGAACUGUGUGUGUGUGAUGAACUCAGUAAAAGAGUUUCUGCAUAAAUUUGCAGAAACUUUCUGAAGACUUAUCUGGAAGAGAUUCUACUCAGAAUAGCCCUAUUAGCAAGCUUUUUUAACCAGAAAAAUAUUGCACGAAAGAAAAGUUGUUUCUGCCUUGAGAUUACUUGCACUGUGGCUAUGCCAUAAGGUGAGACAUUUAGAUCUCUCAUCAUUUCAACAAUACUAAAUACAGCUUUUACAAUUUUAUUAUAGAAGUGGAUGCUACUAUUUGAAAAUUUUCUUACAAUUUUAGAAUCAGAAAACACUUUUAGCAGUAGUAUCUUUGAAUGGUUAUUUGAGCUGAAGACUGAUGAUGAUACACAGUGUGGAAGUCCAUUACAUUUCUGCUGCAAGUAUUUUAUCAUUUUAACCUGAAUCUCUCUUUUAAAAAAAAUCUGUUUAUCACUCCCCUUAACACUAGUUGAGGAAAUCAUACAUCUCUUAUGCGUAGCUGUUACCAUAUGCUGGUUUAUAUGUGGCUUUCCACCAUUUUUAAAAUAUGAAAUGACCAAUUGCACACUGUGGAAACCUUAAAAGGAAUUUUUCCUCGCUCACUAAAUGACUAUGCUCAGAAAGUUCACAAAAUUUAUGGUUGCUUUUGUUUGUGGGGGGGUUCAAAUAUACACAAAUAAAAAACAGACAAUAGAAACAAGUCCAAGAGUCAGAGAUUGAAUGUGAAGAGCUCACAGGUGCAACAAUGCACCUGCACUCCGAAGUCUGAUCUCACAACCAAUCAUAAACAGGGGUCCAGAUGUUAAAAGGGCUGCAUACUUGCAAACUAAUAUUAAAUUGAACUUUAUGUCUGACGCACAAAGAUGAACUUCAUGUUUGCUUGAAAGUGAGACGUGUGCUUUUACGGCCAAGUCUCCCGAACAAAGCUAGAGCUGAUUUUCUGUAAGGGUGGGGGGAGUGUGACAAGGAGCUGGUGGACUUUCAGAAGAGGAAUUAUUUAGGAAUUUAAGGACCCUGAGCUGUGUUCGUAUAUCGAUAGGGCAAGGCUGCUUUUGACUUGCUAACUUUGAAGCCUGGCCUGUGGAAUGAGGGACUUGCUGAUUGGCUGUUGUGUAGGAGCACAGGGCUGUCACUGAUUGGCUGGCUUUCAGAGGCAUGGGGCUCUCCUUCCUCGAAUCUCUCACUUUCGGAAGCCUGGUUACCGGGGUGAGUAUCGCUGAUUGGCUGAUUUUCUGAACAAAAAUCGCUAUUUUUUAUUAAUGGUGGGUAGUGUUCACCGCUUGGGACUUUAGCCAAAGAACAGUAUUUUCCUUUCCUGAAUGUGAAAAUAAGUACCUUUAAUUUGCAGCCUUCCCUUUUAUAAUUACCUCAGUUAAAACUGCGGAGACCAUAAGGGGUUGUCCAGAUCUAUAUUGGUAGAGUUAUGCUUUUCAGUUAGUGUGGCCAUUUAAUUGAUUUAAAUACCAAUUAUGGUGGAGGAAAAAUAACUGAAACUUUUUAGUAACUUAAUUUUAAAAAGCUGAGUACAUGGCACACCUGGGUGGCUCAGUUGGUGUAGCAUCCUCCUCUUGAUUUCAGCUCAUAUCAGCGUGGAAACUGCUUAAGAUUCCCUUUGUCUCCCUCUGCCCCUCUCCCCUCUUUCUCUCUAAAAUAAAAAAAAAUGGGGGCCCCUGGGUGACUCAGUCGGUUAAGCGUUCCACUCUUGAUUUCAGUUCAGGUCAUGAUCUCCUGGUUAGUGAGAUGGAACCCCGUGUCGGCUCUGCACUGACAAUGCGGAACCUGCUUGGGAUUCUCUCUCCCUCUCUCUCUGCCCCUUCCCUGCUCAUGCUCUUUCUUUCUCUCUCAAAAUAAAUAAAAACAUUUAAAAAAUAAAAUGAUAAUAAAUUAGUUUUAAAAAUAGGUUAAUAAAAAAGCUGAAUACGUUCAGGGCAUCCUGAAAGUUAAUAGAUAGUUAAUAGAGAGUGCAGGACAAAGUACAGAACAUGUCCUGUAUAAACUAGCAACUCUGGGGAAAGUUCAAGAGUAACAGAAGAAUCCCCACCCCCAACCCCCAACAGAAGGAACUGUAAUUCUCAUUUCCUCCUAAAAGGUCAUUCAUUAUAGCCCUGCUUCUUAAAGGAGCAUAUUGGAAACAACGUAAGGGCCCAUCAUGGGGAAACUGGUUGGAUAAAGUUUUGCACAUCUAUACAAUGGCAUAUAAUGCAGCAGUUAAAAAGGAGGAGUUCUGUGAACUGCUAUAAAGACUACCCCCAUAGUUAAGUUAAACAAAACAAAACAAACAAACAAACAAACAAAAAACAAGGACGGGGCACCUGGCUGACCUAGUCAGUUAAGUGUCUGACUUUGGCUUAGGUCAUGAUCUUGCUGUUCCUGGGUUUGAGCCCCACAUUGGACUCUCUGCUGUCAGUGCAGAGCCCACUUUAGAUCCUCUGUCCCCAUCUCUCUGCCCCUCUCCCUCCUCAAAAAAUAAACAAAAAAAAUAGGGGUGGCCGCGUGGCUCAGUUGGUUGAGUGUCUGACUCUUGUUUUUGGCUCACGUCAUGAUCUCGUGGUUUGUGAGUUCAAGCCCCACAUCGGGCUCUGCACUGUCAGCUCAGAGGCUGCCUGGGAUUCUCUCUCUCUUCCUGUCUCUCUGCCCCUCCCCUGCUCGCUCGCUCUCUCUCUCUCUCUCAAAAUAAAUAAAUAAAACAAGUUUUUUAAAUAAAUAAAAAAGCAAGAUGCAGAACUCCAGGUAUGGUAUCAUUUGCACUGAAUAUGCAUGGGGGUCAUGGAGGUAGGAAUAAAUACAUGUUCCUAUAGACUAUCUCUGGAAUGAUAUUCUAGAACAGUUGUGGUGAUCUCCUUGGGGGGAGGAGAACUGAAAAGCUGGGAAGCUGAAGCAAAAGGAGCAGGAAGUCUUCCUUUUCAUACUGCUUGAUUUUUAAAAAUUUUUUUAUCUAUUUUACCUUGAGAGAGAGAGAGAGAGAGUGCGUGUGUGCAUGAGUUGGGGAGAGAGGGAGAGACAGAGAGAGAGAGAGAAUCAAGCAGGCUGCACGCUCAGUGCGUAGCCUGAUGUGGGGCUCAAUCCCAUGACCCUGGGAUCAUGACCCAGGGUCAGAUCAAGAGUCAGAUGCUCAACCGACUGAGCCACCCAGAUGCCCCUUGUUUGAUUUUUUUUAUCCUUUGUGAGUGCAUUACCUAUGCUAAAUGCUUCUGAUUAUUUUUAUUUUUUUUUAAGUUUAUUUUGAGAGAGAGUGUAUGUGCACACAAGCAGGGGAGGGGCAGAGAGGGAGAGGGAAAGAGGGAAUCCCAAGCAGGUGCUGCGCUGUCAGCGCAGAGCCCGAUGCAGGGCUCAAUCUCACCAACUUCAAGAUCAUGACCUGAACCAAAAUCGAGACUCUGAUGCUUAACGGACUGAGCCACCCAGAUGUCCCACUUGUAAUUAUUUUUAAAACAGUGGUUUCAAAAAUCAAGUGUGUGACCUGGGCAUAGACAAAAGGCACAGGUUUGAUACGUUUGAGGGUGUGGACAGGAUGUUUCCUGAGCCUGGUGACUCUUCUGCUCUAGGGUGGACUUCCGAGGCUGGUGGACCAGCUGUGUGGGAUGUUUCCCACGUCUCCAAGUCUCUUCCAUAUCACAGAGCACAGGAAGCAGCCUGGGGCUGGAAGGAGAGCAAUGUCAUCCCACAUAGCAUAUGACCAAGAAACAGAGCUCACAGUAAAUGCACUAAAUUUCACAGGCAGCCAAAGGAAACAGGAACCAUUCUCAUUAUUCUGUGUAGAGUUCACUUCCUGGGAGCUCUCUGUUGCUGAUGGAGAUAAACAAACAAACAAACAAACAAACAAGAAGGGUACUCCAUAGCCUCCUUGGAAUUUCAUAGCUGAGUCUUCUCCCUGGAGAGUCAGUCUGCCUUGAGAAGAAUAGCUUCUUUCCUGGCAAAACCAGUUUUCUACAGCACAGAAUGUGUUAGAGAGAGUAUGAUAAGCACUGGAAAAUGGAGAGUUUGGGAGCAGAACCCACUGUAGCAGAUAAUCACUGUCAUCCUAGGAGCUGAUGUUCGCUGAGAAGGUAUUGUGUUAUGUGGACUGUGCUAGGUGCCUUGCAUGCAUUAUCAUGUCAGUCCUUAGAACAACUCUAUGGGGUAGGCACAGUUAUUCCAAUUCUACUAACGAGAAAACUGGUACACAGAGGUUUAGAAUUUCACCGGAGGUCAUGUAAAUGGGUGAUCUGGGGCUUGAACCCAGCUGUUGUCAGUCUUAGCCAUUCAGUCGUACUUCCUCCAAAAGAGGGCUUAUCCAACACAGCCUAAAAACCAGUUAAAAAGCACCAAGCAUUCAUUGAGCACCUACUGUGUGCCUGGGACUGGAAGAGGUACCAUGGGAGACAUUUGAUGUUUGAGUGUUAGUGUGACUCUUGGAAUGUGAUUUUCUUUAAUUGAGGUGAAAUUCACAUGACAUGAAACUAACCAUCUCAAAAUGAACAGUUCAGUGGCAUUUAGUACAAUCACAGUGUAUAGCCAUCACCUCUAUUUAGUUUCAAAACAUCUUCCUUACCCCAAAAAGGACCCACCUCCUCAUUAAGCUGUUUCCCUCCAUUCUUCCCUCUUCUCAGCCCCUCUAGCCGCCAAAUCUGUGUUCUGUUUCUGUGGAUUUACCUAUUUUGGAUAUUUCAUAUAAAUUGAAUCAUAAAAUAUAUGACCUGUGUCUGGCUUCUUUCACUUAGUAUAUUGUUAUCAGGGUUUAUCCACAUUGUAAUAGGUAUCAGUAAUCCAUGCUUUUUUUUUAAUUAGAUUCCAUAAUAUCAUAUACCACACUUUGUUUAUCUAUCCACCCAUUGGUGGGCAUUUGAGCUAUAUCCACAUUUUGACUAUUAUAAAUGUUACAGGACAGAGAACCAGUUCCAAACUUAGGUUCACCUGCUCACCGCUUGAAAAUCAAGAGAGGAAUGAUGGAAGGAAAGGAAAGGUUGGUUUAUUCAGGAAGCUGGCAACUUGGGAAGAUGGUAGACUAAUGUCUCAAAGACCAUCUUCCCUGUCCAGGGGAAGCUGUAGGGUUUAAAGGAGAAAGCAUGGGAAAAGGGUGGGUGGGGGGGCUACACCCAAGAGAAGCAGGUGCCCAGGUGGUUACUCAUAUGUGGACAUGACCCUUCACAGACUUCCUGGAUCAGUGGCAGCUGUUUUCGAAGGCUUAUCUUCUGGAAAAGUUUGGUUCUUCAUGCCCCAAAACCAGUGGUCUGCAAAUGUCAAGGAAAGUAAGUUGUUUCUGCUGUGCAUCAAGGGACAGGCUAGCAAGCAAGGAAUGCAUAAGCUUGAAGCAAGCUAACCGUUAGGACGGGCUGGAGUGCAG
rnacentral:lncRNA from 1 species